UUGGUUGUAACUCAGUGGUAGAGUGUUCGCUUUGAAUGUGAAAAGCCCGGAGUUCAAUCCUCCGCAACUACA
rnacentral:tRNA from 1 species